CUGGCCUCAGAAGCCUUCCCAUUUUGGGUGGAAAUGCAGUGCUACAGUGUUUGCCAGAAAGCACCAUAAUUCCAGUGUUCCAAGAGAUGUUUCCUCUUGGUAAUGACUUGAACCCGUCAGUAAUUUAGGCACUAAUGAUGGCCCAGGUCGUGGAUUACAUGAGAACUCCAAUGCAUAUUACUGAACUCCACUACUGUGAAUUCAGACUGUAAUGGCUCAGACACAGUGUCCUCAUCCACCCAAGUGCUACUCCCAAAGGACUUGGUCUUGGCUGCUGGGUGGGUUUCAUGAAGCUUCCAUGAAACAUCUUCAAUCUGGGCAGUGGAUUUCUGCUCAGGUAGCACAUUGCUGAGCCAGGCUGUCUCUGGAAGCACUAAUCAUCCACAAAAUCACCACCAACUCUGCAAU